UUCCAACACAAAACCAUUUUAUUCUCUCACCAUGGAGUUUGUUCUUCCAGCUUCAAGUCCGUAGUAUUACCUUUGGCUUUUGUUUCACACUUAUUUCUCUUCAUUUACACUAAAUCAAAUCCAUUUGAUUGUUUGGGAAUCAGGAAGGUUUCUUUCAACAACAAUGGUGAUUUUAGCAUCUGUUCCUGGAAACCAAAAAUCAAUGUUAAGGAAUAGCAGAAUCAAUCUCAUUCCAAGGGCGUUGAGGAAGGAAAAGUAUCAAUAGAGGAUGGCAAGCAGUGUAACAAUGAAACAAACAAAGAGGCGGCAAUACCUAGGUCUACGGCUAACACAUGACUUGGUGGGUUAAUGUACUUCAACUGUAAGAUGUUGGCGACGUGUGUUUAUGACACUCCCUGUUCAUAAUGACUUCCUAUUCUGACGGCAUUUGCAAAGGCCUUCCACGCAUUGCAGCCACUGAAAGUUCCUGGUUUCAGUUUCGCGUGGCUGGAGCUGGCGAGUCACAGGAGUUUUAUCAUUUAUACCAAAAUUGUUUUAGGGUAAUUCUCAGAAGACUUCACCCCAUGUCCAGCGCUUGCUUGUAGAUUUGUUUAAGUUUGUGGAGCCGUACUCGCGAAACGCUGGAAAAGCUCAGCUUGUUGAACCUGUUCAUUUCCUCUAUAAAGGCACUUUGCGUGCUCUUCUGAUAAAAUGCCCAAGUUGGAUUAUGCUGGUUCGAUUCCAAGAGAUUAUCAUGAAACUGAUUGUUGUAAUGUCUUGUCUCUAUGCAUAGCCAACUCUGGUUGUCAUUGUAACCUAGUAACAAGACAGUGUUUUACUAAACCUCUGGGGCAUGUUAAGCGAAAUUAAGGUGUCAUAGUCUUUGAUCCGGCUGAAUCCAAUAACUACACAAUCGUUCUGCCUCGUGCGUACACUGGUUCUCCAAGAUUCGACUGUAUAUCAACUCUGAAAAGGUGCCAUGUGCAGUUCGACCUGAAAUCACUAAAAGUGUCAGAUCAAGUCAUGAAAAUCCUAUCCGAGGCCGGUGGUCG